rnacentral:rRNA from 1 species
UACGUAGGGGGGCAAGCGUUGUCCGGAAUUAUUGGGCGUAAAGAGCUCGUAGGCGGUUUGUCGCGUCUGCUGUGAAAACCUAAGGCUCAACCUUGGGCUUGCAGUGGGUACGGGCAGACUAGAGUGCGGUAGGGGUGACUGGAACUCCUGGUGUAGCGGUGAAAUGCGCAGAUAUCAGGAGGAACACCGGUGGCGAAGGCGGAUCUCUGG